rnacentral:rRNA from 1 species
UGGGGAAUUUUGGACAAUGGGCGCAAGCCUGAUCCAGCCAUGCCGCGUGCAGGAUGAAGGCCUUCGGGUUGUAAACUGCUUUUGUACGGAACGAAAAGGUGCCUUCUAAUAAAGGGCGCUCAUGACGGUACCGUAAGAAUAAGCACCGGCUAACUACGUGCCAGCAGCCGCGGUAAUACGUAGGGUGCGAGCGUUGAUCGGAAUUACUGGGCGUAAAGCGUGCGCAGGCGGUUUUGUAAGACAGAGGUGAAAUCCCCGGGCUCAACCUGGGAACUGCCUUUGGGACUGCAAGGCUGGAGUGCGGCAGAGGGGGAUGGAAUUCCGCGUGUAGCAGUGAAAUGCGUAGAUAUGCGGAGGAACACCGAUGGCGAAGGCAAUCCCCUGGGCCUGCACUGACGCUCAUGCACGAAAGCGUGGGGAGCAAACA